rnacentral:rRNA from 1 species
ACGGGUGAGUAACACGUAGGUAACCUGCCUAUAAGAUCGGGAUAACUAUCGGAAACGAUAGCUAAGACCGGAUAACUGGUUUUCUCGCAUGAGAGAAUUAUGAAACACGGAGCAAUCUGUGGCUUAUAGAUGGGCCUGCGGCGCAUUAGCUAGUUGGUAGGGUAACGGCCUACCAAGGCGACGAUGCGUAGCCGACCUGAGAGGGUGAACGGCCACACUGGGACUGAGACACGGCCCAGACUCCUACGGGAGGCAGCAGUAGGGAAUCUUCCGCAAUGGACGCAAGUCUGACGGAGCAACGCCGCGUGAGUGAUGAAGGUUUUCGGAUCGUAAAGCUCUGUUGCCCUAGACGAACAGCAAGAGGAGUAACUGCCUUUUGUGUGACGGUAUAGGAGAAGAAAGCCCCGGCUAACUACGUGCCAGCAGCCGCGGUAAUACGUAGGGGGCAGGCGUUGUCCGGAAUUAUUGGGCGUAAAGCGCGCGCAGGCGGUCAAUUAAGUUGGGUGUUUAAGCCCGGGGCUCAACCCCGGUUCGCAUCCAAAACUGGUUGACUUGAGUGUAGGAGAGGAAAGUGGAAUUCCACGUGUAGC